rfam:Fukomys damarensis contig117680, whole genome shotgun sequence.
GGGGAUGUAGCUCAGCGGCACAGCACCUGCCUGGCAAGCGGGAGGCUCUGAGUUCAAUUCCUGUUAUCACCA